CCCCUGCGUGGUUGCUUAGGGUGAAUCAUUAACCAAGCACCUAAGUAUGGUGAAGCAAAAAUGUUUGUUGAGUGUCUUUGCAGACAGCAUGGAGUGGAGGCCUUCUGCAGGAGGAAUGGCUCUGCUCUCAUGCAGGAGCUGCAGCACUGCCAUCUGCUCGCUCAACCGCUUCCUCCAGCUCUACACCUCUGCUUAUGCACUGAUGGGCUGAAGCUGCUCCUGCUUUUGGGAUGAGAAAAGGGAACGGUAGAUGUAUCCUGGAGAAAGGAUUUAAGAGAUCUUUCUGUUUGCCUUGGGCUGUGAUUUCCUGUGGGCAAUGAUGGAGGAACAGCACGGUCUAGAUAAACUCUACUUAACUUGCUUAUUGGGAUGGAGGUGGAUUGGCAUUGUCCUUUUUCCAGGAGUCAAGACUGAAGAAUUACAGAAAUACUGCAGUGUUAUCAAGUGGAUCAUUUAAGCAAAUAUGGUAGGAAGGAAAGUAUCAAGGUUACCGACUGGAUUCCUGGAGCAGAUGAGUAGACCUUCAUGGCCAGACAACAGAGCAAGCUGACGAAGUCCAUGUAGCCAACUCUGCAGUCAAAACCAAAGUGCUGGGACUCAGAAGGUCUCGCUUGUUAAUUUGACUGUGUGUAAACAAAGAAAUGCUGUUGGCCCUAUUAAUCUCAGCGCAGGCCUGAGGGAUAAUGGCAGAUGACUCAUGGACCAGACACCAGUGACAACGCAUUACUCCGUGUCUGUUGGCCAAGUGCUACUGACUGAAAUCACUGGCUCUACCUCAAUUCACUGCAGCAAAGUGUCUGGUCUUGCUUGGAUUUGCUUGAGAAAUGACCUUUAUUUUUCUUAUCCACAUUCUCACCUUAUGCAGUCUCCAUGUGUGUGCCAAAGUCACCUCCCCUGCAAGGGUGGACAGAUUUAGAGAUGCUCAAAAUGGCACAGCAGGUUCACAGACAUCUCUUAUCUCCAUAAAACUCCUAGAGAGCAUCCAGAGGAGGGCUAAGAAGAUGGUGAAGGUUCUGGAGGAUUCUUUCCAACUCAAGGUAUUCUGUGAUCCUAAAAGAGGGGCAGCAGCCAGCAAGGAUGGAAUCAUCACAAAGGGGAGAAAUUGCACUUAAUGGGAGGCAGCCAGGGUGCUUGGUGCACUUAUCACACUUGCCUGCAUCAUACUGCUUUCUCCUCUGCCUCUGCUUUUCCACAUGAGGACUCUGCUACGUGAAGGCCAAGUGAGCUACUAUCUGCCAUUUUGGAUAAGAUGAUUCCUUUCGGAGAGAAAAAUAUGAAAAGGAAAAGAGAAUCCCUGCCCUGAUAUUCAUCAAGCCAGCAGGAAAAGCAUGCAGAAAAUUCUGGUAUUGUGAAACUGGUACACCUUUGCUUCCAACUCUGGCUGAUUAUUCUGAAAUUUAAUUAAGCAGCACCUUUGAGUUUUUUUUUUCUUUUCCAUUUCAUAUUAGCAAAUUAACUGUUUUACUUUGAGAAAAAGCUUAUAUGUCACAGGUGACCUCAUCUUUGGCAAACAGGUUUUUGCCACAUCUUUCUGAGAAAACAAUCUUGCAUUACUUACAAUGAGAAGUUUACCAAAACAAUUCUAGUUUAAAUCAAAAUGUAGCAAAAAUGCUUUUGUGACCUGAAAAUUCAGCUGCCAUGGGUGGACGAGCUUUAGCUAAGGCAGAGGACUGGGAACUGGGAGAAAGCGUGCCAAAGAAUGAGGUCAUGGCAGAACUCUGGCAUCCACAGUCAUGGUCUUCAAGGACCUGAGUCCUGGGGAUGGAAGGCCUACUUUUGUCAAGCAGCCUUGGGAAAAGACACACAACAGCAACCAUGCUACUGCUGGAGCUGGGGGCUUUUGUCAGAGAUCACAUAGAUGCUUGGCUCUGAGCUCUCUUGCAAGUGGGCAAGUUGUUCCACAAGCAUUCUGUGGUGUGCUGUAAUGUAUUUGUGACUUUCAUUAAUAUGUUCAGCAAUUAAUUCAGCGCACCUGCAAGAUAAAUUAGAUGUCUUCUUUCAUCAUCCAGCAUUAUGGGAAGCUGUUUUGCUGACACAGUGCAGGGAAUGGAAACAUGGCUGUCUGUGGGUUUGAUGGCCAAAACUGCAGUCAGAUCAGUGGUGCUGCAACUGGCAUGCUGUUGUGUGGUGCUGGGGG
ensembl:lncRNA